UAUCAACGAUCUGGAGAGUGGCUUGCGCCAAGCGCCGCAGGCCCACCGAAGGAGGAAGCCGUUCGUAAGAAGGGUGAAGCUCUCAGGUCUCGUGACAGAUGGGGACGC
rnacentral:ncRNA from 1 species